UAUCCAGGGUUUCUACUUCUCUCAAAGUCUCAGAGUACUAGGGGAAAAGGAUAGAAAGAAGGAAUGGAAACUGCAAAUAUCCCUUUCCCCUUUCAUUGCUCUGGUCAGUAGAGGUCUGCCUGUCUGGACCAAAACCUGAUCUGUGCAUCCAAGUACCCAGAAGCAGAGGCACAUUAACAGGAGCCCAGGGAGUUCACUGACACGUAGCCCAGGAAUCCUCUGCAACGUCACACUGCCUGACUACUGUUCCCUUGUGCCAGGGCUGUACCCAGGACCCUGUCACCAACCUGGAGAGUCCCUGCAUGACUCCUUCAGUGACAGCAGCCUCAGCUACUGUUUGGAGCCCAGGUGGUAUACCCAGAGCUCAAGAGCAGAAGUGUCUCCACUCUGACUGAGAAGGACAAGGAGCCAUCUUUUCCGAGCACAUGAAGCCCUGAGCAACUGGGCUCAUCGGUUCCAGCUGCAUCCUGACCACAAAGCCACGUUCUCACCACCCAGAGUCUGGCUCCCCACCUGUGGCAGCCCAGCUAUCUGUGUGCUGCUGGGCUGCUCACUGCUGAGCCUGGGGCCAUUCUGCCUGACAGCCAAAGCCACAGCCUAGAGGUGACUCCCACCUGAGGCAGUUCUACAAACUUCUCCUGCACAGCAGCUGCGCCUCGUUCAUCUUGAAGUCACCUUGGAAUUCAUCUUAUUCAUCACCAGAUACAGAGCCUAGCACCUUCUGACACAGAUAAGGUGCUCAACACAUGCGUGGAGUGCCUGGAAGCCCGAUGAAAACUAGAACCAGGAUUCUGCCAAGAUCUCAGCAUAUAUUCACUGCUCUGGCCAAAGAGGAGCUUUAACCCAGGAGACUCAGCCCUGCCUAAUGCUGAGCCAGUGCAGACAGAAGCAGCCAAAAGGUCCGCAGGUCCAGACCUACAAGACGAUGGGAUGUGCAAUGAGAAUGCUGCUUUGGUAUGUAUUGGACAUUGAGUCUUGCCCAAGAAACUAUCAUAUGCUAUCACCACCAGGGCUUCCUGGCCCAUAGGAGAGGGCUUUUGCUUGUUUUCCUGCUCAAAGCUCAUGUUUCCCAGAUGAAACUGGCACACGCCUCAAAUUCCAGCCCCACUGAUUUUGACUUUCUGCCUCACUCUUUCCAGACUCUAUUCUACUGGUGCGCAUGUGCCCUGGCCUCCUCUAACGUCCUUCCUCCUAGAAAUGCUCUCUGAGAGUUUAUUUCAGGUUGCAAUGACUAUGCAGAGCUCAGGUUUGAACAUGACAUUGCCUAAAAAUUCUCAUGACUGCCUUUGCCUCUCCCACACUCAACACUCACACUUCUCUAUGCCAUCACCAAUGCCAUCAGUUUGGGCAUUUUAGAGUCCACUCUUGCCCAGUUUCAUACCUGUGUGUGGAUCCUUCUAUUCACAAUGUUUUAUUCUCCCCUAUAAGCCCACACUGCUAAGAUCCCAGCAUGUUUUAUAGAAGAGACCGCAAAGUUCAUAGCAGAAUCAGAUUCUUAGGACCAGAAAGGACGUCAUGGGUUAUUUGUGACAAUUCUUUCCUGCACAGCCAUCACAACUAUUCAGAGAGACAUCCAAACAAAACAGACAUCGUGAAGCUUAUAAAGGGAAGUGGGGAUCCAUACAGUACACAGCUCUGUACAACCAGACAUUCAAUUUCAUCUCAGAACCUAACAAGAACACAGGGUAGCUCAUUGACUGCAUGGUGUGUUGAGUAUUCCCUUGACAAUGUACACAGUCAAAUACAUCAACACUUUCAAAUAGUCCAAAUGUCUAGGCGUGGCAUUCAAUAUCCCCUUUAAUCUGAUCUAAUCCUACCUUAUUAGAUUCAUCUCAUAACUGCUUGCUAGUUCCAGAAUUCCUUUGUGUUUUUCUUCCUUUGCAUUUUUGUCAUUCAAAUGUGUAUAUCCUUACUGCUUUCUAAUCUUAAGACCAAAUCUUCCCCAUCCUAUAAUGAUUGAGAAGCAUGUAUUUCCUCUGAGGGAACAUGUAUUCCUCUGGGCUUGGAUGUAACAAAUGCCACACAUGAAAUAACUUUUCACUCCCAUCCAGGUGGUGAAAGGAGCUGUGAACCUCACAACUUUUAAUAGCUACACCUUCCAAUAUAAUUUCCACUAAUCACAUGUGGCUAUUUUAAUUUUUAAAAAUUGAAAAUUUAUUUCCUUUAUUACACCAACACAUUUCAAGUGCUCAGUGAACACAUAGUUAAUGGCUAGCAAGUUGACCAGUGUAGAGAUAUAGAACAUUUUCAUUGUUCUAGAAUGCUCUAUUGGAUGACAUUGAUUCUAACCCUUUAGUUAGGUUAAGUUCCUUGAGAAAGUUAUCCUAUUAAAAAGCCCUACCCCCAAGUACUUACUCCAUGGUACAUGUAUACACCAAGGGCAUAGAAAAAACCCAUGAUUCCAAGGAAGGCCAGGGACACUAUGAACUUGAAGGCAUCAUUGUACAGUUUGAAGUUCAGAGGCUGGGGGUAGAGGAUGGAUCUCACCAAGUCCCCUUUGGCUGUAUUGUAACCUACAUGAAGAUAAUCACAAGUGGUGUAAGGUCCUUUAAUACAUUUUCCCCUAAAAGAAAAAAAUGGUUUGCAUUGAAUUAAGAAUUAGUUAAUAGAGUCAUUUGAAUAUGGAAUUAAAACAGCAUUGUUGUGACCUAACAGUUUUACAUUUAUUAUUCUUCCAAAUUGCCAGGAAUAAUAAAUGGUGUUCACUUAGCCCUUCUCAAUUUCUCUUGCUCUGGGGGUCAGUGCUUCAGUGGCUCAAACAAUGUAACCCCUACUUCAUAUACGGGGCUGAGAAAAAGACCAAGGAGCUGAUGAAGGCAAUGACCAGAGAACAAGAGAUGCUGAGAGAAGAAGACUUAAAGAAAAGUAUGUGUUGAAAGUAAUGGAAAAUUAAGAGAAAAGUAAAGCACAAGGCCAAGUAAUUUUAUAUGCCUCUGGUCAUGUUAUUCUUAAAUUCAAAAACCUUCCAGACCACACACAUUUUAGAAUACAGUUCAAAUUUGUAGGCAUAGCAUUUGAGGUCUCCUGCCUCACUAGGCUUAUCCCUAGUCCCUGCUCCCUGGUCCCAGAGACCUCCAUGCAUUCCUUCUUUUAUGUUUCUUAGAUACAAAUUAGCCUAUUUUUCCAGUUCUCUGAUGUGAUUGGUUAAAUCCUUCCCUUUUAUCAGGUUUGGCUCAAAAUACCAUCUCUUCAAAUAAGUAUUUCCAGAAUUCUACUCCCAUAUUUCAUAAUCAAAGUAAUUUCUCCCUCUGUCUGUAAUUUACAGCUGGUAUUUGCCAGUUUUAAGAAAGGAUAAAAACCAACUUGGUUGUAUGACAUCCCUCUAUGCACUGUGUUUUGUAGGCUAUAAAUCCAUCUGUCUCUUGUAUCAAAUCAUAAUCUUCUUUGAGGGCAAAGAGUAUCUCACAUUUGUUUUUCUUUAGCCCUCUAUGCAUAGCACUUAGUAGAUACUCAUUCACCUCUAAAGUACUGGCAAAAAGAUUGACUACUAUAUAUUCCAGACAUGAAUCAGUAUUGUAAGUAUAGUGAAAGUGAAAUCGUUCAGUCGUGUCUGACUCUUUGCAACCCCAUGGACUGUAGCCUACGAGAUUCCUCCAUCCAUGGAAUUUUUCAGGCAAGAGAACUGGAGUGGGUUGCCAUUUCCAAGCAUGCUUUAAUCCCACUUCUUGAUGAACAUCUGCUCUCCUCAAACAUGGCUUUGUAGACUUUGAAGGAAAACAGCCAAAUUUUCUCUAACCUGUUGCUUUAGCAUUUUACAAGCUUAGAUCAGGAGUUUUCAUGAUCUACACCCAUUAGCUUUUUCUUAGGCAGCAGCUUGAGGGAUAUUCUCAUGUCCACUGACUACUUUGAGCAUAAAAGCCCCUCAAACCUUGAUAUUUGUAUUAAAAAACUAGGUAGAACAGUUGAAUCAUGGACUAAACUAAAGCAUAGAAAUAUCAAAAUGCAAGAUAUAUUUUGGGUUUAUGAAUAUGUGGGGGGCAGAAAUACAGGUCAUGGGUAAAUACAGAGCUGAGACCAGAUCAUGGAAGGUAUUGAUCAUGUAAUGUCAUGUGAAAGAAUGGGACUAAUAUGGGUCGUCUUGAAACACUCUUGAGCAUGGUAUUUAUGAAUCGCUCCAAACUAUGUUUUAGAAGUGUGACUUGGUGACAGAUUGAGGAAUAGGUUAGAGAAAAAUUGAGCAAGGCAUAAAAAAACAAUAUUUAAGGUGAAAAAUUAAAGGGAUACUUUCAAAUAAAUAUUUCUUCUGUAAUAAUUUAGACAUGAAAUGAUAACUUAGAUAACACCAACUAUGAGGAUGAAGAAGAGGGAGGGAGACAGGAUGCAGGAGGUAUUUGCAGAAUCCGUAGGAUGUGGUGCCCUGUUUGGUAGCAGAGAAAAUGAGGAGUAAAGACAAUAUGAGGAAACUUGCUAGAUGGUGAUGAUGGCUACAGAAAGAGGCACUAGAGGAGUAUGAGUCCCCUUGUAGAUGCCUUGACUUUGAAGAAUCUUUGGACCUGUUGAAGGCAUCCAGUAAAAACCUUGAGAUAACAGCCUGGCAUAUGACUCUUAAAGAAAAAUUUCUCAAGUGAUCAUGGUUGAAACUAUUUUCUUGGUAAUCACUUAGAGGAAGUACAGAGUGAAAAGAGCAGAAGUCUAUGGACUCAUAGUAAACCCAAGAACACAGUUUUGCCUUUGAGGAAGUGUACUUCAUCCCCGUAUGCACUUCAUCACAAACAACAGUAUUCACAAUGAACAGUUCAGUUGGAAAUGGCAGCAACCUGGAAUAAUAAGCAUUUCAUGGGAAACCAGAAUGUGACAAACUCCAUAACUGUAAACAAGAUUUCCCUAACCCAGCUCCCCCACCUCUAAUCAUAGAUGAUGUUUACAAAAAUGGAAUCUACUGACCUGUUUGCAAAACGACUGCUCUUACUGACCCCUGCCCAGAGGGCUUGACCUGAAUAACUUCUGUUCCACAGAAAAGGACGUGCUUCCGAUAAUCUUCCAAGCUGUGGGAUUUCCAGGCUGUGGUGUUCUCUGCAUGGGGCAGGGGUAUCUUUGUAACAGGUAUACUUUCUCCUAAAGAAGAUGGUAUUUUUUUGAUUUUGUGUGAACUUGGGUAGUAAUUUAGAGCUGGUAUUCACCAGUUUCAAGAAAGGAUAGAAACCACAGUUUAUCUGUUUGUUCAUUCCUAUCUCAAAAGUCAGAUGACUAUUCAAUCUUAAGGAUAUUAGUGAUGCAAGCAGUGGUAUACUUGAUUAUAUUUCAAAUAUUUGUUUAAGAGUUGCCUAUCUUUCCCAUACCUGGCCAGUAUGGUUUACUGUUUUUUAUUUAAAAAGCAUCCCAUUUUAGAGAAAGGAGUUGCCACUUAAUCAUUUUCCUAAGUUUUCUUUAAGCCCAGCACUAUUCUAGGCAUGAAGAAGCUACAAAGCAUGUUAUUAUUAGUUAUUAUUACUUGCCUCUUAUUCACUUGUUUAUCUGUCCAUUCAUCCAUUGAUUUGGCAAAUGUGUCUAAGUGCUUAUUCCAUACCAGGCAUUGCUUUAGAUGCUGGCAACAUAAUAAUGAAUAAGACAGAAAUUCUGACCUAAAGCUCAGGGAGCCAGGCCCAUAAAUAUCAGUAAAUAAUUAAUUAAAAUGACAGUGUGGUAAAUAUUUUGGUAGCAGAACCAGGUGAUCUGAAGAUCCAACCCAAAAGGAAGAUCAGGAAAGAUUUUGUGUGCAAGUAAUAGGUGACAAUUGAAAGGCAAUAAGCUCAGUCAGCUUAAGGAGGAGGAGAGAGCAUUUUUAGGAGAUCUAAGAGAAAGAGAAUGGUGUGCUCUGGGUAUUAAUGGCAGUUGAGGGUGUUUGGAAUGUUGAGUUUGGGGUAGAGGAAAGCAGCCCUGGAAGUACAGAGAUGGGUGAAAAAUGAUGCCUGCAGAAAAUCUGUACAAUAUUCUCAGUACUCUUCAUGCUGGGGUGGAAGGAGAGGGAAACGGAUGAAGAUUGUCAAAAGGUACCAGCUUCUCAGUAAGAUAAAUAAGUAAUAGGGAUGUAAUGUAAACAUGAUAAAUAUGAUUAACACUGAAUAUGACCUUUACUGUUGCAUGCUAUAUAUGAAAUUUGUUGUAAGAAUAAAUCCGAAGGGUUCUCAUCAUAAGAAAUUUUUUAAAUUUCUUUUUUAUUUAUUUGUUUUUUGUGAGAUGAUGGAUGUUCACUGAACUUGUAAUCAUUUCAUUAUGUAAGUCAAGUCAUGCUAUAUACCUUACAUUUAUACAGUGCUGUAUGUUAAUUACAUCUCAAAUCUCGAAGAAAAAAAUAUUCUUCAUGAUCUUUUUUGGAGCUUGCAGUGAAAUAGAAAUUAAUGUAACAAGAUAGGACCUCUGUUUCCUCUUCCUCUUUCUGGAUGACCUCAGCUGUACUUCCAUUAAUUGGCAUGUCUAAAAAGAUAUCCCAGUAAUGCCUAGCUCCAUCUUUCCUCUCUCCUGGGCCCUUGUUUGGUGCUUCUCGGUUGUUGGCUGUUCAUCUCAACCUGGAUAUUCUACUAGCCUCUGGAACUCAACAUUUCUAAAAUCUGUAUCAAUAUCUUUAGCCCUAAAUUUCCUCUUCAAUAAAAUUUCGGUUUCUCUUAAGGUCUUACCUUGUUGCUGAAUCACAGAUUUACAGUCUCAGAACCAUUUUGAUUCCUCCUCUUUCCAUAAUCUGCCUUUUCACAGAAUGAUUUUCCAAGUCCUAACGUACCUUCCUCUGAGUGUCAUUCCUGGACUCUUGCAUCUAGAUCCCAGUGGCUUAAAUGGCAAUCAUUGUUUGGUUCUUGGUGGUUGCAUUAACAAUGGAUUAGCUGUGAUUUGUUUAGCUCUCUGAAAUGCAAACACGUCCUCUGGGUAAUUUGAGGCUACAAUGGAACUAAUCAAUCUUUUUUAUAAAUAAACAUCUCAACUUUGAAGUCCUGAAUUAGGAAAAUCCCCAGUCCUUCCUUAUGUGUUUUGUCUUUAGUCUCACACCCUACUGUACUCACAAAGCUUCUGACACCAGAUGUGUAGGGGUUUUUCCUCCACAACAUGCAAUUCUGUGACAUCAGCUGAUUGUUCUAUAAUUUAACUCAAUUAAAUUCUAUUUUGAUACCAUCCACCUGCAGAUAGUGUCACAUUCCACAGGUUAAGCGUUCAGUCCUGUAAGACUGUUCCCACCCCAUUCAGAUGCAAGUUGCAAAUCCAGUUUGUCAUCUGUGCUUCUAAAACAUGACCCAUAAAUCUGAGGUUCCCAUGAUCCCUUCCUUGGAUUCAGUUAAUUUUAUAAAGCAGCUCACAGAAUUCAGGGAAAUGCCUACUUACAUUUAGCUGUUUAUUAUAGAGUAUUAUAAAGGACACAGAUGGACAACCAGGUGAAGGGAUACCUGGGGAACGGUCUGGGAGAGUUCUGAGUACAGGAACUUCUGUCCCCCUGGAGUUGGGGUGCAUCAUAUUCCUGGUAUGUGGGUGUGCUCAUUCACCUGGAAGCUCUUUGAACCCCAUACUAUUAGGAUUUUAUGGAAGCUUCCUCAUGUAGAUAUGAUUAAUUAUCAACUCCAUUUCCAGCCUUUCUUCCCUCUAUAGAGAAUGGGGGUUGAGGUUGAAAAUUCCAAGUUUCUAAUCAUGGUUUGGUCUUUCUGGGGACCAGCCCCCAUCCAAGAGCCAUCCAGGUAUCCACUAACAGCGGCCUCAUUAGAACAAGAGACGCUCCUAGUGCUUUUAUCAAGUAGGAAUUUACAAGUGUUUCAAGAGCCCUGUGCCAGGAACUGGGUCAGAGACUAACAUAUCUAUUUUCUCUUAUCUCCCAUUCUCCUAAUUGUUCCUCCCCUCCAGUCCCCCCUUUCAGUCUUCACAAACCAUUUCCAGAUGAAUCCUAACAGAGGCUCCUUUUAUUAUCUCAUUCUUUUCUCAAAAAUCCUUCAACCUUUUCAGUUGCCAUUGCUAAUAAGCCUCAAACGCUCCUGCUAGGUUGUCAGAGGCACCACCAUCUGAGCAUCCAUGGCUGUUAUCCCUCUACAGAGACUUCAGCUAAACCAGCCGUGGAUGUUUUCUAUUACUGACUCCCAUUCUUUGCCAGUAUUCUUCCUCUACUUUCCCUAAUGGAUGUACAACCAGAUAUCUCAGAUACAAAGAAAAUCAGCUCGGAGUUCAAAAAGAAUAAGCUUCAGAGACAAAAUAAAAAGGCCAAUAACACUUCUGGGCUCAUAGAUUUAAAAAGCACUAGAAUCGGUUGAAACUGUCAUCAGAUUUUUGCUAUUCAAUUAGCAAGAUAAUGUUAUAUUUCCUACUUGGAAAUACAGUUAUACUGAUUAUAGUUACACAAGUUUAGGUUCUUUCUGGUGAUCUAGGUAAUAUCAGAAGACAAGGACUUUGACAUUUAAAAUUUUUAUAUUCAGCAUUUUCCCAGGGAAUCCCAGGAAAGGAUGGAUUCUCCAAACAAAAGUUUGGAUAUCUAUGUAGGCUGGAGAGGGUUUCAGAAGGAAAGACACUCACAGCCAACUGUUCACUUGGCUUCUGAGACCCGAAGAUCCUGGCUGCUGUGAAAUUGAAACUCCCUCCUUUGUCCACAAUGAGCCAGAUGUCUCUACAUGGUGACAGGGUUUUGAAAGGUCAGGUCCUUGUUUAUUUAUACUUCUGGGACCAUCAGAUUAUAAACUACUUGAGGGCAGGGACCCUUUCUCAUUUCUCUUGUUGAUUCCAGCACACAGUUCAGUGCUGGCACAUAGCAGGCAUCUCUGAAACUUUAUUGAAUAAAUGGAUGAAUGAGUGAAUAAAUGAAAGAAAGACAGGAGUGAGAGAGAAGAAGAAAGGAAAACAGGAAGAGAGGAGAAGAUCUGAUCUCUCCACUGACUACAAGCUUGUCUGACAGGAUAUAAAUAUGAAAUAACCUUUUAGGGGAAUUUCUGUGUCCAGCUCAGACCACUACCUGAUUCUGCACAUACAAUUCAAAUAGAUCAGUAAUUCUAAUGAGCAGAGGGAGGGUGAGGGACUGUGGCAGAGUGAAAGUUACCCCUCCCCCUCAUAAUUAUCCCUAAGAGAACAGGGAACAGUAGUUGCAAGCGUAGGCUCUGGGGACAAAAUGGCUGGAUUUAAGUAUUUUAUUUCCUUCAUAGAACUUCCUGUUAUUGGGAAUUUAUGUCAUUUAUCUGCCUGCAUGUUUUCUGUCCUCCCACUAGAGUCCGCUCCAUGAGGGCAGAAAUCUGCCUGUUCAAUGCUGUCUCCCCAGCACCUAGUAGAGCGCCUGCUCCAUAGUGGGGGCUAAUAAACAUUUGUGGAAUGAAUGAAUGAACGAAUAAACAAAUGAAUUCUAAUUUCAGCUCUACCACUUUCAAGCUGUGUAACCUUAGGCAAAUAAAUUACCCUCUCAGGACCUCAGAUUCUCUCACUUUGCAGAGUUGUGCAUUGAAUGAAAAAACAUGUGUAAAAUGCUAGCAUAACACCUAAUACUUAUGAGAGCUAAGAAAAAUCAGCUAUUGCUACCAGGAAAAAAUUUCUCCCCAUAGUACUCCCUUUUUCCUCUGGACCCUUCAGGAAGAGCUAAAUCUUGAAGGGGAUCACUGUCUCAGGAGGCACAAGAAAAGAGCAAGGGACUGGCUUUUGAGUUUCAAAAGUCACUCAUAAAUUUACCAUAAAUUUUAGAGACCACCUGGGAGUAGGAAAAAAGCUUUUCUGCUCAUCAUGCCUUUCUUUUACUACUUUUCUUGCCAAAUAAAAAUCCAAAGACUAGGAAUUGGAAGAAAGUCUAAAGAGAGCUUGGAUAUUGUAUGUCUAUGAGAGAAGGGGCCCGAACCAAACUAGGACAUGGAAACAUUCUAGAAGUUUGUGGAAACUGAGAGCAAAUGUCACCGGGGUAUGCCUCAUUUCCUGGUAGAUAGGUCCCCGACAUUCCCCGAGCUCUGAGUGGCAUGAGGCAACCACAGAGAGGAGCGUGUCCUAGACCAGAGGCCUCUCCCCAGUACCUGGCACAACUUCUGUAGCCAGACUAGAAUGGGGGGCGUGGGGGCGGGGCUCCUGCUAACUGCUGGGGAGCUCCUGCUGACUGCUGGGAUACCUGACUUAUAUCAGAUGCUUCACACCACACACUUUCAAGAAUGGCCAAAUUUGAAGCCAAAAUUAAAAUGAAGUGUAGGUAUAAAAUAAAGUUGAGCUUUUUGCCUAGUGGAGUUUAUGACAAGAAGAUGAGGUUAAGAUGAUGCUAAGGAAAAUUCUGCAAUGCGCAUGUGCUAUAAAUGGGACUAAUCCUGAGAAAGGAAAAGGCAAGGAGACACAAAACAAAAAAAACAGUACCUAUACCCAUCCUAGAAUCAUUGUAUUCACUCCUAUGGUCCCUCAUGCCUGGAAGCCAAUCCACCUCUAACUCGGACCCUUUCACUCAUUAGCUGAGCAGCCUUAGUCUCUUCACCUCAGUUUCCCUGUCUGUAAAUUGGGUAUUAUAGUAGCGCCUAGUCUAAUUUGUUUUAUGUUACAAUGAAGUGAGAUAUAAAAGUUGUUUAUAAAAGUAUAAAUUGCUAUAGAGAUGCUAGGAAUAUUUGCUACUCUUCUUACAUAAAGACUUCUGUAUAUGUAAAGGACUAUUUUUGCACAUGGAGGAUAUUACCUGAGUCACAUUUGUGAACACAUACUCAAGAAAUACAGUUGCAGUUUCAGGAAUCUAACCUUAAUCUAAUUACUCCAUCAGGAUCCUUCCCAGGAAUACAUAGUAAGUGGGAGGAUCUAGGCAAGCUAUGUAAUAAAAUAUUCAAAGCAUGCUGGUACUGAGGUCUAUUUCAAGAAAUUAAUGCGAAAGAGAUGGCUAUAUUUCUCUUUUAUGUGUUUAUCUCUAAAGUUGACUUUAUCAAUACUUAGGCUGCAUAGAUAUUAAUACUGAUGACUUUGUUUUUCCUGAAACAGGCCCUCAGAAAAGCCACUGACCAUUUGAGGUCAUUUUAGGUCAACUUUGCACAUUUGUUAAAAGGUGGCAUUUUUGCGUUUGCUGCUUCUCUGGGACUUUCUGAGUUUUCCUAAGAAGCAGGCAAGCAUGAUCCUCCAGGUCAGAAGACCCGGGGAAGUAAACCCUGCUGUGUGUCUUCUCUCUAGUCUCACUGCCACGCUCUCUGUUGCCUUCAGAGACACUGUUCUUGGUUGUCAGGCUAUUGGAAAUGAGAGAUAGUUGUUGCCUCUGAGUGAAGAGCACGGUUAUCUUGGGUGUGAGGUUUGUACUUGAGGUACUAUGGCAACAUUCUGGAUGAGAGAUAUGAUCAGUAUGCAAAUCCUCAACACCACCAUUACAAGGCAGUUAGAUCUUAACACAUUAAAGGGGUAUUUUGUAAUUAUACUGCACAUAUUUAUGUUUACUGCAUUUUCUUGUCUCAGUUUUAAAUCAAGCAGGCUCAUCUUUAAUGGGAAAUAUGCUUCUGUUGAACAAUUUAGGAAUUAGAGAAUGACUCUCUUUAUGUUUAGGUGAUAUUAAAAAGGUUUGUGCAUGUGUUUUUUCUUUUCCUUGUCUUACACUAUUUGGGAACAGAAAAAUGCACCAACUGUAAACACAAAAGACCAAUAAUUUCUUUUUCAUGUUUCCAUAUGGUUUUUUUCUUCUUUAAUUAAGAUGCCCUGUGUAUUUUCUUCUUCUUCUUCUUUUUUUUUUUUUUUUUUUUUGGCUUAAAGAAUAGGUUAUAGAUAGUGCCUUACUAAUCACACAAAUUCAAAUGGACCGUACACAAAUGAGGACAAGGACAGUUCAAGCCGCAACUAGAAAACCAGCUUUAUGCUCAGCGAGAGCAACUGGAAACACGAUUCUAAAGAGCAGAACUGUUUUACUGCCUUUCUGGAAGACCCAACUCAAUCUUUCUCCCACUGAAAACGGGCUCAGUUUUCCAUCUACAGAAUACAGGGCUGGAUAAAAUCCCUAUGCCCUGUCAAUUGUGAGCUGACGGUUUUAGUCUGUGUUUUGUUCAAACAGGUGUAUAAACCAUCCUCAUAUUUAUAAAGAGAUGGUGCAUCAAAUAAAUAGGAUCUUCUCACCCA